GCUUCUUCAUCUUCAUCUUGUUUUGAAUCCUUUUACUCCAGUUCAAGUUAACUCACAGACAGGCAGGUUAUGGCGAUGGCCUUCGUCACUGCAUAAGGGUCACAGUUUGCUGCGGGACGGCGGUCCUCAAAGUACCCUUUCUUCUCUUGCCCCACCUGCCGCGGGAUGCGGAUGCUGGCACCUCGGUUGGCCACUCCGGCAGAGAAGUCGUGGAUGCUGGAGGUUUCGUGGAGACCUCCCCGUUCCAGUUGCCCUUCAUCGGUUUAGGGUCCAGCGUUGCUACAACCCCGAAAUCUUCACAGACACGAUGCAAAAGGAAACGUGCGACCCACAAAUGGUCCCCCAUCUCGAUGCCCUCACAGGGGCCCACCUGGAACUCCCACUGAAGCCAGAGAAAAAGAAAGAUGCAGAGAAAAGAGGGAAAUGUUUGAGGUGAAAACAUGUUUGAGAAUAACCGUUUAUAAUAACCACUGUUAAUAAAUGAUAAGUUUAGUUAACUGCAAUUUGAUAGUUUUUUGACUGUUAGAAAACAAAGAAAUUAUAAUGAGUAACAUUUGCUAAUGGCCCAGUAUUUGCUUGGAAAUCACUUGUGAAUUAUAUUUAUAUUUCAUAUUUACCUGUGUAUUAUAUUUCAGUUUUUUGAGUUCAUCACAGUUUUCUGUGUUAUUGAGCUCAUUUUUCUCUGAAGAAUUUUGUUUUGUAAUAUUGUUUUUAUAUUUUUUAGGUAGGUUGUUUUUAAUGUUUUGGCUACUGUAACAGAGUAUUUUCCCAAGUUCUGGGAUAAAUAGCUUGUCUUAUAAAUGUGUCAUAUGUUUGUAAUAUAUAACAAUAUUUAGUCAUCGUGUUGUAUCGAAUU